rnacentral:rRNA from 1 species
UACGUAGGGGGCAAGCGUUGUCCGGAUUUAUUGGGCGUAAAGAGCGUGUAGGCGGCCAUACAGGUCCGUUGUGAAAACUGGAGGCUUAACCUCCAGACGUCGAUGGAAACCGUAUGGCUAGAGUCCGGAAGAGGAGAGUGGAAUUCCUGGUGUAGCGGUGAAAUGCGCAGAUAUCGGGAAGAACCCCCGUGGCGAAGGCGGCUCUCUGGGACGGUACUGACGCUGAGACGCGAAAGCGUGGGGAGCGAACAGG